UACGUAGGGUGCAAGCGUUAUCCGGAAUUAUUGGGCGUAAGGAGCUCGUAGGCGGUUUGUCGCGUCUGCUGUGAAAACCCGAGGCUCAACCUCGGGCCUGCAGUGGGUACGGGCAGACUAGAGUGCGGUAGGGGAGAUUGGAAUUCCUGGUGUAGCGGUGGAAUGCGCAGAUAUCAGGAGGAACACCGAUGGCGAAGGCAGAUCUCUGGGCCGUAACUGACGCUGAGGAGCGAAAGCAUGGGGAGCGAACAGG
rnacentral:rRNA from 1 species